rnacentral:rRNA from 1 species
UACGGAGGGAGCUAGCGUUGUUCGGAAUGACUGGGCGUAAAGCGCGCGUAGGCGGAUCAUCAAGUCGGGGGUGAAAUCCCGGGGCUCAACCCCGGAAUGGCCUUCAAAACUCCCAGCCUAGAGUUCGAGAGAGGUGAGUGGAAUUCCGAGUGUAGAGGUGAAAUUCGUAGAUAUUCGGAGGAACACCAGUGGCGAAGGCGGCUCACUGGCUCGACACUGACGCUGAGGUGCGAAAGCGUGGGGAGCAAACAGG